AUAGUAUAAACAUUUUCUGUAUACAUAAAUUUAAGUAAACAUUUAGAAAUACAUAAAACAUAGCCUAGAUCCACAGAAUAGCAUAGUCAAUAUUUGGUGUGUUUAUCAUUAGCAUUACCAGAAUAUAGCCGACUGUGCACUAAACCAAUCAACUGCUUGAGAUCGGACUGUUCGUGAUUUUCUUCUAUUUUAUUCCUUAUUAAUUACUUUACAGUUUUUAUUGCUUGUACUCUGCUUACGUGACUUAUUUGUGAAAAGAACACAAAUUCUCGAGAUGUUGUCAUAUAUAAGUCAACCUUUGGUUAUUUAAUUCGAUUUUGUGGUCAUAUUUAAAAACUUCGCUUUAAGGGAGUCUUCUACCAUAGAAACUCGUUUUUACAUAGUUCGAAAAAAUCUAUUUUUUUAUAAAGCUUUUAUUAGAUUUACCUGUUUACUUUUUUCGGUGGUAGUUUUGUGAGAAUUAAUAAUUAUUUUUCACUUUUUAGUUUAAUGUAAUUUAAAAUCAUGUGUUAUAUCAAACUGUUGAUUGUUUUGUUACAGUCCCACCUACACACAUACAAGUGAAGCUAAUAAAAGCGUUAUAAAAAGCACAUUAAACUAAAAAUUGAAAAAUAAAUAAUAUUAAAAACUAGAAAAUACGUUUUUAAAGUCGGUUAAGCAGAUCCUCAGAUUCAUCAAACUAAAGAGUGAAAAAUAAUUGUUAAUAUAAGCUGACAGUAAAUUGACGGAAUAAUUCUUGUAUUAUUGUGAGGAAAGCAAGAGCAGAGUUUGGAAAAAAUUGUUAUUUUGUUUACAUCCAAGUUUAUAAAUUAAUUAAUGACAUAAAAAAAUUUCCAAAUAUCACGUGUAUACUUUUUGCAAUCCAUUAUCAAAAAGAGGUCCGGAAAUUGAGCGCGAAGUUAAACGACGUCGUGUAUCCAUCACAAGAGACCCAUCCUGGCUUCGCACGGUGCAAUGCUGAUACGCCACAGAAAACCUGUGAACGUUGUAUAUAAAAAUAUAGCGGCCCGCUCCGGCUUCGCACGGGUAUAAAAUACAUAGAGUAUGUCACUAUCUGAAAAAAUUAUUAAAAUUUAUCCAGUAGUUUUGAUAUAUUCAUUACUGCCCGUGGCCCGCAUCGUUAAAUUUGGAGUAAAACAAUUACCCUUUCCCUAUAUCCUGAAGAUUUCCUGAUAUCCUUGGAAUAUCUAAAUUCAUACACAUUUUUACUUAUAUACAAGUACUUUUUAAAUUUUUACCUAUUUAUUUACAACAAUUAGUAUAUAACUGAAUGUCUUUAUAUACAACGUUCACAUCUUUCGUGUCAUUAGGCAGUACAAACAUGUUUUAUCUAGAGUUUACUCUUGAAAGGGCGACAUACAGUUGACCAUGUGAAAAACAGUCAACGCUCAAAUCUAAGCCUGCAACGUUGAAGAUGUGGCCCUGCGAUUUAUUAAUGGUCGUUGCAAAACAUGUCUUUACCGGAACUGUAAACGUUUAAAUUGAAAGAGUAAAUCCGAUGGUAUCAGAGGGAUUCGGGGAAUAAAUACAUCUUCUUCGGUACCACAUCCUGAAAUAAUUUAUGAACUCACCAGCAUGCUACGUUCCCUGCCAAACACUUGCACAUUUCGGAUUACAGUAAUUAAAAUAUGAAUAAACUUAACUUCAAACGAUAUCCAAUUUGGAGCAAUCAGUAUACGACGACAGAAUACACUAAUCUAAAUUUUUGGUAAUAAUAACAAACAUGGCCCCUUUACGGUGAUAACAAACAACCCGUCUGUGAUGUCAUUUUUAGAAUCAAUUGAUGAAAAAUACAAAAUCGUUCCUCUGUCUAUUCGAUUAUAAAGAAAUGUAACGAUUUUAAUUGUUA